rnacentral:rRNA from 1 species
GUGAUUAAUUUAACGGCCGCGGUACACUAACCGUGCAAAGGUAGCAUAAUAAAUUGUCCUUUAAAUAGGGACUAGCAUGAACGGCACCACGAGGGUUUAACUGUCUCCCCAUUUUAAUCAAUGAAAUUAAUCUUCCCGUGAAGAAGCGGGAAUAAAACUAUAAGACGAAAAGACCCUAUGAAGCUUUAAACUUAUUACCACUUAUCUUAACCAUAUAACAACUCAUACCGAUAAGACUGUUUAAAUAGUUUUCGGUUGGGGCGACCCUGGAGAAAAGUAAAUCCUCCAGAUUGAAAAAGAAACAACCCUUAUACAAGAACCACAAUUCAAAUAAACAAAAAUUUGACAAAACUGACCCAGAAUUUACUGAUCAGCGAACCAAGUUACUCUAGGGAUAACAGCGCAAUCCAUUUUAAGAGCUCCUAUCGACAAAUGGGUUUACGACCUCGAUGUUGGAUCAGGGUAUCCUAGCAG